UACCAGCACCCCGAGUGGUCGGGACGAUUAUUGGGCCUAAAGCAUCCGUAGCCGGUUCUACAAGUCUUCCGUUAAAUCCACCUGCUUAACAGAUGGGCUGCGGGGGAUACUAUGGAGCUAGGAGGCGGGAGAGGCAAGCGGUACUUAGUGGGUAGGGGUAAAAUCCGUUGAUCCAUUGAAGACCACCAGUGGCGAAGGCGGCUUGCCAGAACGCACUCGACGGUGAGGGAUGAAAGCUGGGGGAGCAAACCGG
rnacentral:rRNA from 1 species